rnacentral:lncRNA from 1 species
CCUGCUCCAUGAGAGUGAAACUAGUUAUUAGUCAUUUUACAAUUCUAAAAAAGAUGAACCAGCCAAAAGAUAAAACUCAGCGAAAAAAAAAGAAAAGAAAAGAAAAGAAAAUGCCUCAAUCUAGGGAACUGAUUAAAAAUGAAAACUAAUAAGAACUUAGGGUGAAUAACUUUUCUGUUUUGCUUUAGAGGAAACAUAUAGUGACCAUGAAGAAGUUGAUUAAAAAUGAUAUUAAUUAUUUCGAUAAUAAAAAAUAAGUUAACUGGAGAAAGGUUGCCCACAUGACUUGUGAGGUCUUAGAAUGAAGCUACUUUCAACAAUCCUUUUCAAUCAUUCUUUCAAGUUAGUAAGCCAUAUCCAUGUUCUUUGUGCCCUUUGACUUUAACAAUCCCAAAUUACUAGAGGUCUUGUUGCAUAUCAAGUACGUCAUCAGAUGGGGCCUCAAAUAGUUAUAACGGUUUGACUGGUCAUAAUAAACUUCUGGAGGUCCAAAUCAAGGUCCAACAAGUACACGAGUACGUAGUAGCCAGAUGUCUGUUUAAUAAAAAGUUAAAACAGGCGGUAAGUCGAUUGGAAAUCAUAGAUCUAGGGAAAAUUUUGACUACGCAAUUAAUGUUCAUAAUGCAUAUACUAAAUUAUAAUUCCUCAUAUUUUUAACAGUACCGAGAAAAUGAACUAGAUUGAAUUACAGUGUAUAUGGAAACACAGGUGAAAGAAAUUUCAUUGUUACUUAUCCCAUCAGUAGGUUUAUGGAUCAAAGUAAAGAAAUAGUUGCGAGAAAUUAAGAUUCUUACAACCACUCACAUAUAAUACACAUUAAGAAGGUAAAUAUCCAAUAAAAUUCUACAAAAUAGAUGAACACAGUCACAGAGCCCCACCACAUACAGACACACAUAUCAAUAGAAAUUAUACUUUUGGACUGGCAGCAUUAGAGCAUUCAAGAAAAAACCAAAAAAAUAAAAUAAAAUAAUAAUAAUAAUAAAAAAAUCCGAAAUAGGAAAAAUAUUACUGCAGGAUUAAGAUACUUAAAAAAUCGAACAAUGUCUAUUUUUCAAUUCUCAGGAACAAGACUAAUAUCUAUAAAAGCUAAUCGGUAUAAUCACAUUAAUUAAAAAAAAUGCAGAUUUCGGCGCAAUUUGAAAUAACAAAACAACACUUUUCCUUCAUACCUAGAGAAGGAAAAAAACCCGCCGGAAGAAGAAGUGCGAACUUGUACCGUAAACUGGUUCGUGUGCUGGAAAACCACAACUGAACCAGUUGCCAGUUGCGACACACUGAUCAAUAAAAUGAAAGAAAGAAGAUGACUGGAUUAAAUGUAUAAUGGGCCCAUCUUCUUAUGGACUAGUCUUGUAAAGGCCCAUGUUUUGGUAUAAGUUUUUAAACUUUCACUUGUAGCAUUACUUUUCUACGCUUAAAGUUCCACGCUCCACAUGACAUCAUUGUGUCAAACUAUUUCUUUACCCAUCUGUAUAGAGAUAUUUAUAAAUAAUAGAUUUCUUUUUUUUUUUUAACUACACAUUUUUCAUAAAAUCACUACUACAAAAUAUAAUAUUUUUCCAAAAACUAAUUAAAAUGGAGCUCAAACAAGGGCUAAUGCUAAAGCAAGAAAACCCCUUUCAUCAGUAUGAUCUUGAGAGCUCUAUAUUUUGUCGAAUUUCAAGAAAUAAAUCGAAUGUUUCAAAUUUAGCAUAGUUAGAGAAUCUCCAAUGAUGAUAUAAAAUAAAUGUAAAUUGACAUAUUCAAAAAAGGGCCAUUUAGAUUCAUUGAAGUUGUGAUGAUUGUUAUGUUUCUUUUUCUCAUUCUGACAGCAAAUGUAGCCACCCCACCUCCGAUGUCAAGCCCUAUUCUUAUUGUGCCAGGCUUCUUUACUGCAAGUACUUCAUCUACGGAGAAGUCGAGGCCCCCACCAUUGCCAGUCCAUCGGGUUUUCUCUCGUCCAGCAAGGUCAAAACAGUCCUUGCAGUCGUCAAAACCUUUCUGAGUAUGCAUACGAUUGAUGAGACAUGAAUAGUUCUUGCAGGUAUGUGCUGUCCAAACAACAGUUGAGUCCGAGGGUGUCAUCCAUAAGCUAUCAGGAAGUGGGUAUGGUUCAAUGUAUUCUUUCUGUGCAGCUGGAUGGCACCGGCGUCGAGGAAGUGGCUCACAUCCCCGGAGGAGAAGCUUUUGUGCUAGAAGCUCGUCGUCCGGGCAGGAUCCAUUGACUUUGUAUGACAUAUACUGGCGAAGCAUAUCAGGGAAAAGUGCACACGGAUGGCCAACUGGAGGGAGGAUUUUGUCGGAAUCAAAAUUUGAGUUAUAACCCAGUGGGAGCUGCUGUGGGGAUGUGAAAGCAAGAAACUCAUCAGGGAGGUCUGCUUCACUUUCCGAUGCAUUGAAUUGUUUGACAAUCUCUACUUUCGGGGUUGGCUUGGGAUCUCUUGGGGCACAAUCAGCAGUUUUCCCAAUGGGUGUGACGGAUUCUACUCGAGUUCCUAGAGAACAUGGAGAAUACAAGUUAGUGGAAAUGAAGAGAGUGAGAAGAUUUGAAGACACAAGCAAGAAAAGAUAGAAGAGGUUAGAAGAGAAAGAUCUUGAACUGCAAGGGGAAUCCAUGGAAAUCUGAUUUGGAUUGCUUAGAGUUGAAGAUGAAGUGUAUUGUGUAUACGAUUAGUUGGGAUUAAAGUCAAAUUACUAAUACAUUAUGUUUUAGUACAUUUAAUCACGCAGAAGCAUAUUUUUUUUAUUUAAGACAAGAGUUGGUAUUGUAGCAGGUAGUGGGAUCUUGAGGAAGGUCAACACUGAGAGAGUGAAGUACAAAUUUCAUAUUCUAUGGAGAAGUGUGAAGUUUUGUGAUUUCGGUUUUGGCGGACUUGUUCACAUGCAUUUUCCAAUUUGUAUGAAUUUAUCAUCUUAAAUUACUUUCUUUAAAAAUUCAUGCGAAGGUUAAAUAGAUAGAGGAAGAAUUUAUUAUAACCAGAUCUGAGUUUGAAUCUAAUUCAGUAUAUUUAAACUCAAAAGAUCAAUAUGCACUUAAUUCAAUGGCAAAGGUUGAUUAAAUUGCAGGAUGCAAAUUCUUAAGACUAAAUUGUGGUAGUUUAGUACAUAGCACUAAGCAUUAAUAAUGGACCAUAUUUUAGUUUCUUUUUAUUGUUUUAUCCAUCUUGCGUUGAGAAUUAGAAACUCUAGUUUUAUAUCACCGAAAAUAAUUAAACUGUAGGAAAAAAAAUAGACACACAAGACAUGCAAAAUUAAUAGAGGUUCGUCCUAAUGUGAAAUUACGUCCUCUUUCGUCGCUGUGGUAACUCAUUAUUUUCUCUUACAUCUCUCUUUUUACAAGAGAAAUUGUACAUUUUAUCAUCUCUUAUACCUCUCUUUUUAAUAAUUAUAAUUAAACCUUAAUGAUGACUCCCUUGAUGAUAUCCAUAAUUUUGCGUACAAGCUCUACGCAAUGACAAUAAUUAAAUUUUACAACUUGACAUCUUGCACUCCCUUAUCCGGCCUCUGGUAAUGUUCAAUGAUAUGCCAAUAGCUAUCCAUUAUUCAAAUCUAUUUAAGGCAUUGUGCUCACUUAUUCUCGAUUCUUCAAUUCAAAAGACAUGUUGAUAUGCAAAAAAUUAUGAUCAAAGCUUCCACGAUUAAAAGAUUGAUAGAAUUCACGAUGAGCUUCAAAAAAUAACGACAAAAACCAAUAUGAAUUCCAAGUGGUCUUUGUAUUAAGCUUGCUGUAGAUUAUUAUUCAUUGUCACAAUGUAGUUUUAGUACUCAUGUUUACUAACAAACUCGAAGCUGAUAAAAAUCCAAUCAUUCCUCCAGAUGAGUUUUCCUAUACCUGUUAAUCAGAAGUAGAAAACACAAAUUAUAGAACAGGGGUUUGCAAAAUCAAAGCAAGAAUGUUCAAAUCCUUACAAGAAGGUACAUGCUAGUUAGUAGUUACAAACUGCAGAACUCCAUUCAUAUGAUCUUUUUCUCAUAAUGUUCACUCUCUUCAUUUCAUCCCACCCACCCACCAACCCCUGCGUUUUGGGUGUAUUUUCUAGCUUCGAAUCUAAAGAAUAUUUAGACACUACAUGUUACAAAUCAAUGUAUAACUGGCUUCAGAGGAUGAGCUCUCAGUAGUGACAAGUCCAAGCUUGCAUCUAGCUCUUCGUCUAGUUCUCCAACGAUGCUACUGCAAGGUAAGGUAAGAAAAAUCAGACUACAGCAUAUAAUUAUAUUAGUCAAACGCAAAAGAAUUAUGAUGUAAAUGAUAUGCAGAUGGCAAAGAAAAAAUAGUACAUGUUGUCUCCUCUGAUGAUGUAGAGACCCAACACAAGUUGCUGUACACCUUCCUACAAUAUAGAACAGGCAUCAAUUGUAUUAUGAGAAAAUCAACCUUAUGGAACAACACAACUGUGUUAAUAUUGAACUAAAAUACAUAUAGGAAAAUAAAAGAUAUAAAAAGAAGAAAUGAUAAGAAUUGAUUAAUAUUCAACUUGAAGGUACAUAUAACACAAAGCUCCUCAACUACAAGAGCAGGGAGGUUAGCAUUUAACGAGUUCCACCCACUCUCUCUACCUUUGAAGCACAGACACUCCUCAGACACAUGCAACACGACGUGUUCUAUUUAUGAUAUACUUAGUAAAAAAUUUCAUGAUGGGCACAUCCUCGAGGCGUGACCUAUAUAUUUUCUGUCUUCAAUUUUUGACAUGCAACGCGCAUUUCCUCAACGUCAUAGGAUGUGUUAUUCACUGAAUUCUUUUCAUUCAGUAAAAUCUAUAUUCAGAGCAGCUUGGACUUUCUAAUAGCGAGCUAUGCUACACAACAUACAUGUUUGAUGCUUGUAGGAGAUUAGGAGCAGACCUUUGUGGAAUACACCCGUUCAUGAGACUCAUCAAGAAUUAUAUUAGUAGCCUGGUCAAAACCUUUCAGAAUUCCCUGCAAGAAGAAUUGGUUAUUUAGUAUAAGAAAAGGGUUCACUACCAAAUAUUCUAUUAUUGCAGCUCAAAACCUAAACGCUUACCACUAUAUUUCGCCCAUCAUUUGUGAUCACUGAGAUUGUUUCUGAGAAUCACAAGGGACCAAAAUUAAAAGCAUAAAAAAGAGAUGUUAUUGGAAGCAAAUUACUUGUCAAGAAAUUCAAGUGUGAAAAGAUAUAGACGGGAUAUUUAAAUUCUUAUAAACUAAAUGAAAGAUGCAGUAUACCCCAGUUCUCUAGAGUUUUAAAAUAAGGUGCCUACAACACCUCACUCAGUUCAGGCCAAGCCAGUAACUUGAUAGGACAGGAAAUAUGAUAACUGGAGGAAGUACUUUGGCCUUAUCGGGGGCAGCCAUGGGGGAUUUUCCGCAAUGGGCCAAAGCCUGAGAGAGCAAUGCCUUGUGGAGGUAGUUGUAAGUUGCUUUUAUAUCAGUCAAUCAAAGAUAUUGUAUCAAAUGGAAUUUACUCACAGCUAUUUAGACUUUGACUGAGAAGAAAUAAAAUAUCUUUAACACUUCAGCUUUGCAGAUCAUAACAUCAAAGACUAUAAUGUAUGAAGAUGCUAUCCCUAACACAGUUUGCCAGCAGGAUGUUACGAAAAAAAAUCUACUUCAGGUUCUUAAGAACUCUUCAAAAUCACCAUUGAGUUCAGGGGGAAGGGGCACAUAAUAAACACUACUCCAUUCAUGUAGUAGAUUAGCAAUAUAAUAUCCAGUUUAUAAACAAUGGUAAUUCCUGAAAAGAACACGCAAACGAGAUAACAUCAUAUAUCAGUCGUGGAUCAGUAUAGGUUUAUGAUUGCAUACGGUCAACAAGAUUCUCAAGUCCAAGCCCACUAGACAUCUUCUGAUCUCCAAUACAAAUAGGCGAUGAUUCUUUUUAAAUUGCUGAUGCUUGGACUUUUGCGAAGCCUGCUCCAUGAGAGUGAAACUAGUUAUUAGUCAUUUUACAAUUCUAAAAAAGAUGAACCAGCCAAAAGAUAAAACUCAGCGAAAAAAAAAGAAAAGAAAAGAAAAGAAAAUGCCUCAAUCUAGGGAACUGAUUAAAAAUGAAAACUAAUAAGAACUUAGGGUGAAUAACUUUUCUGUUUUGCUUUAGAGGAAACAUAUAGUGACCAUGAAGAAGUUGAUUAAAAAUGAUAUUAAUUAUUUCGAUAAUAAAAAAUAAGUUAACUGGAGAAAGGUUGCCCACAUGACUUGUGAGGUCUUAGAAUGAAGCUACUUUCAACAAUCCUUUUCAAUCAUUCUUUCAAGUUAGUAAGCCAUAUCCAUGUUCUUUGUGCCCUUUGACUUUAACAAUCCCAAAUUACUAGAGGUCUUGUUGCAUAUCAAGUACGUCAUCAGAUGGGGCCUCAAAUAGUUAUAACGGUUUGA